ACCACCUGGGGAUCUCGUUAAAUGCAGAUUCUGAUUCAGCGGGCUGAGGUGGGGCCAAAGAUUCUGCAUUUCCAACAAGCUCCCAGGUGAUGCUGA
rnacentral:pre_miRNA from 1 species